AAAUGGGGAUUUUGCAGGAACAGGAGCUCACCCCAUUGCGCGGUGCUUGGGUUUCAAACCCGGACUGCCAGCUUUCCAGCUGAUAAACUCAGCAUCUUUAACUGCUGAGCCAUUUAAAAGGGACACACAGGAGAUGGCGUAAGAAAAGGGGGUUGUUUCAGCUGCCAAAUCAACAUUUCAGAAGUAACAAACACCGUGGAAUGAAGCUGAAUGAACUGAUUUGAGCAUAGAGUAGGCUUGUUCUGGGUGAAGAAAAAAAAUUACCCUAGUGGUGUAAGCCAAUUAAAUAAACCUCUUUGUUUAGGAAAAGUCCUCAUUCAGUAACUGCAACAUCAACAGAUAAUUUGAAGAUAGAUGCCAACAAGUGAUUCCUUCCAGAUAAAGCUUUCAUGCUAUCUCAGAUUAAUCUUGUGUUCUUAAACCAAGACAAUCCAUCCAUUCAGCUAUUCGCCUUCACUAAGUAAAUUAUCCCACUUUUCAUACAAAAGGUAACCCCUCCUUUGCAAAAAAAAUUAAUAAUGUCCAAGUGGGGAAAUUGCUCAAAUUAUCCUUGUGCCCAUGAACCCAAUAUCUGGUCAUUCGUUGCAUGGUGAAGAAUUAUUGAAUAAGAUCCCUGGGUACUCAAAGUUGAAUCUAACAAGUUGCAAUUUUGUUAGAUUCACAAGACCAGCUCAUUGUAUAAGACCAUCCCUCAAAUUUGAGGCUAAUGAACAUAGAUUUUUGCCAUUGCAAAACCAUUGCAAUGAUCAAUAAAUUCAUUCAGUUGAUCAAUUAA